AUUGAACGCUGGCGGCAUGCCUUACACAUGCAAGUCGAACGGCAGCACGGGAGCAAUCCUGGUGGCGAGUGGCGAACGGGUGAGUAAUAUAUCGGAACGUGCCCAGUCGUGGGGGAUAACGUAGCGAAAGCUACGCUAAUACCGCAUACGAUCUAUGGAUGAAAGCGGGGGAUCGCAAGACCUCGCGCGAUUGGAGCGGCCGAUAUCAGAUUAGGUAGUUGGUGAGGUAAAGGCUCACCAAGCCGACGAUCUGUAGCUGGUCUGAGAGGACGACCAGUCACACUGGGACUGAGACACGGCCCAGACUCCUACGGGAGGCAGCAGUGGGAAUUUUGGACAAUGGGCGCAAGCCUGAUCCAGCAAUGCCGCGUGCAGGAUGAAGGCCUCGGUGUAAC
rnacentral:rRNA from 1 species